GACGAACGCUGGCGGCGUGCCUAAUACAUGCAAGUCGAACGCAGGGGGGACGGGUGAUUAACACGUGGGUAACCUCCCAUCAGAGGGGAGAACACUUGGAAACAGGUGCUAAACCGAUACUGAUGGAUGGACCCGCGGUGCUUUAGCUAGUUGGUGAGGUAACGGCUCACCAAGGCCACGAUGCAUAGCCGACCUGAGAGGGUGAUCGGCCACACUGGGACUGAGACACGGCCCAGACUCCUACGGGAGGCAGCAGUGGGGAAUAUUCGGCAAUGGACGAAAGUCUGACCUAGAAACGCCGCGUGAGUGAAGAAGGUUUUCGGAUCGUAAAGCUCUGUUGUUAGAGAGGCGGUAUCUAACCAGAAAGCCACGGCUAACUACGUGCCAGCCGCCGCGGUAAUAC
rnacentral:rRNA from 1 species